rnacentral:rRNA from 1 species
GAUGAACGCUGGCGGAGUGAAAAAUACAUGCAAGUCGAGCGAACGGACGAGAAGCUUGCUUCUCUGAUGUUAGCGGCGGACGGGUGAGUAACACGUGGAUAACCUACCUAUAAGACUGGGAUAACUUCGGGAAACCGGAGCUAAUACCGGAUGAUAUUUUGAACCGCAUGGUUCAAAAGUGAAAGACGGUCUUGCUGUCACUUAUAGAUGGAUCCGCGCUGCAUUAGCUAGUUGGUAAGGUAACGGCUUACCAAGGCAACGAUGCAUAGCCGACCUGAGAGGGUGAUCGGCCACACUGGAACUGAGACACGGUCCAGACUCCUACGGGAGGCAGCAGUAGGGAAUCUUCCGCAAUGGGCGAAAGCCUGACGGAGCAACGCCGCGUGAGUGAUGAAGGUCUUCGGAUCGUAAAACUCUGCUAUUAGGGAAGAACAUAUGUGUAAGUAACUGUGCACAUCUUGACGGUACCUAAUCAGAAAGCCACGGCUAACUACGUG